UACAGAGGGGGCCAGCGUUAUUCGGAAUUAUUGGGCGUAAAGGGCGCGUAGGCGGCCAUGCGUGUCUUCCGUGAAAUCCCUCGGCUUAACUGAGGACGUGCGGAAGAAACUGCAAGGCUCGAGUCCGGGAGAGGGGGGUGGAAUUCCCAGUGUAGCGGUGAAAUGCGUAGAUAUUGGGAGGAACACCAGUGGCGAAGGCGGUUGCCUGGAGCUUUGCUGACGCUGAUGCGCGAAAGCGUGGGGAGCGAUCCGG
rnacentral:rRNA from 1 species